AUUAGAUGUAAUGUAAGGCAUGCUUGCAAUAUGAUAAAUUGUAAUUGAAAUUUUGAUUGUUCAUAAUUACCUAUGCUUAUAUUAAAGGGCUUGAGUGGAGUGUUCUGGUGUUCCUUCUAAAUGAAGAAAAAAAAAAUUAAAAUUGUCCCUUUUUAUUGUUAGUGUUUUUCCGGAUUUAUUAUUCGACAGCCAUGGUUAAGUCAGUUUGAGUUUUCACUUGUAGGAGAAGCACACUCAAUGAAAGUAGAGAAGAUUUUGUGCAAGGAUAAAUCAGAGUACCAAGAAAUCCUGGUUUUUGAGUCCUCAACAUAUGGGAAAGUUCUUGUGCUUGAUGUCAUUGUUCAGUUGACUGAGAAAGAUGAAUGUGUCUAUCAGGAGAUGAUAACUUAUCUUCCCCUUUGUUCAAUUCAAUCCCCCAAAAACCAAAACUGUAAUUUUCAUAAAUCAUGGGUUCCAUAGUUCAUGAUGAGUUUACUGUUUCUAUUUUUAUUCAAAUUUAAUUUCAAAUGACAUAUAGCUAUACUUAGAUUAUUGAAAUUAUAAUGCAAUUAAGUGUGAGGAACCUUUUGAAUC